rnacentral:rRNA from 1 species
AUUGAACGCUGGCGGCAGGCUUAACACAUGCAAGUCGAGCGGGGUGAUGGUGCUUGCACUAUCACUUAGCGGCGGACGGGUGAGUAAUGCUUAGGAAUCUGCCUAUUAGUGGGGGACAACAUCUCGAAAGGGAUGCUAAUACCGCAUACGUCCUACGGGAGAAAGCAGGGGAUCACUUGCGACCUUGCGCUAAUAGAUGAGCCUAAGUCGGAUUAGCUAGUUGGUGGGGUAAAGGCCUACCAAGGCGACGAUCUGUAGCGGGUCUGAGAGGAUGAUCCGCCACACUGGGACUGAGACACGGCCCAGACUCCUACGGGAGGCAGCAGUGGGGAAUAUUGGACAAUGGGGGGAACCCUGAUCCAGCCAUGCCGCGUGUGUGAAGAAGGCCUUAUGGUUGUAAAGCACUUUAAGCGAGGAGGAGGCUCUUUUGGUUAAUACCCAAGAUGAGUGGACGUUACCCGCAGAAUAAGCACCGGCUAACUCUGUGCCAGCAGCCGCCGUAA